UGAUACAUAUGUAUCACCCUACAUAUGUUUAAUCUUGUCAUAAUUUGGAAGCUAAGCAGGGUUGAGUCUGAUGAGUACUUGGAUGUGAGACGGGCUGAGAAUACUUGUAUGUUGUAG
rnacentral:rRNA from 1 species